GAAGGAUGCAAGCGUUAUCCGGAUUCAUUGGGUUUAAAGGGAGCGUAGGUGGUCUUGUAAGUCAGUGGUGAAAUCUUCCAGCUUAACUGGGAAACUGCCAUUGAUACUGCAGGACUUGAGUACAGAUGCUGUGGGCGGAAUAUGACAUGUAGUGGUGAAAUACAUAGAGAUGUCAUAGAACACCGAUUGCGAAGGCAGCUCACAAAACUGUAACUGACACUGAGGCUCGAAAGUGCGGGGAUCAAACAGGAUUAGAUACCCUGGUAGUCCGCACUGUAAACGAUGAUUACUCGCUGUUGGGGGGCAACUUCCAGUGGCUGAGCGAAAGCGAUAAGUAAUCCACCUGGGGAGUACGCCGGCAACGGUG
rnacentral:rRNA from 1 species